CCGCCAUCUUUUCACAGAAUUUUGCCUUCCGCGUGCGAUGACGAAACUCGUUCAUUUUAUUUCAAGACUCGAAAUGUGAACAAUAUUGAAACCCCAAGCAUUUGGCUAAAUCUAAAUCCGUGCACUCCACGUGCAUGGUGCAUGUGAGACACCUCGGGACAACAUGUGAGCCCGUUGAGACACCUCGGGGCAACAUGUGAGCCCUCUGGGAACACCAUUGCCACAUUGGAGAUUUUACAUUCCGGUUUGAGGUUAUGUAUGGGUGUAGCUGCAGCGCGCACAUGGAUUUACCGAUAAAGAUCAACUCAGAAAUGUGGUUUAUCGAAGACAAAUAUAACUAAAUGAGUUCGUUUAUUCGACUACAUUCAUAAGAGUGACGUUGACCAGCCUUGUAUAAAAAGAAUUCGAUAUCUUCAAAUACUUAAAUAAAUAAAUAAAUUAAAUCAAAUAAUCACGAAUUAUA